CCACUGGCGGGAGGGAGGAAAAUGUCCUGAGUCAGGCUAACUCCUCCGUUCCAAACUGGAAUAAGUUAAGGUUAAGACGAGAUUUUAAAUGGCCCGCCCCCUCCCCGGGACGGAGAUCGACCCACCCCGGGGGGCAGGGGGAGGACACCGACCUCCCCGCCGCCCUCACACUCACCACCACCAGCUGCCGGGUCCUGCUUGCAUCAGCUUCUCCGCCCUCGGCGCUCUGCUGCCCAGCCUGGCGACAGCCGCGCUUCUGCUGAAGGGAGCACCGAGUGACUCGAUCGACAGGCGGCGGGGCUUCGGCCUCUCUCGCCGGGGGCGGGGCGAGGAGACGAAGGGGGCGUGGCCCGACAAGCUGCGCCGGAGGGCCGCGCCUGCGCCGUUGUUAACUUGGUCAGUCGCCGGGGAGCGAAGAUGGCGGUAGUGGUUUCCAGGAGCAAGAGGCCCUUGACAGACUUUCCAGAGGGAGACCAAUCCCUGCAUCCGGACCUGAAGAGACAGUGCUACAGUGCACCCUGCCUUCCUCAAAAGACCUCUCUGCUGCCUUCUAUUAUUUCCUCCUCCAGCAGCGGAGUAGCAGCUUCUCAGAUUUACUCAUUGACCUCCACGGGAUACAGGGAUGACAGUGAGCUCGAUGCCACCUUAUUAGAGCCUUCCGAUGGGGAGGAGCCAGAUUCUUCCUCGGAUCUCUCCCCUGAAGACGAGGACAGACUUUUGGAAGACGAUCCAGACGAUAAGCCAAAGAUCUUCGCACGUCAUGUAGCAUUUGGACAGAAUGCAGACCAAGUGGAAAGUAGUUAUUUUCCAGUAUCCUCUCUAAUAGUACAGCUGCAGAGCACUCCUAGGACCUUAGAGGAGACAGUAAGUAUAGAGCCUCUUCCUCCGACUGGCCCUUCAGGCAGCUUUAGUUGUGGCCUUGCUUGCAGGAAUGAGCCUGUCAAUUCAGAAUGGGGAAGUGACUUGAACACAGGCUUUCAGAAUCAAACUGGACUGAGUCUGAAUUUGAAAAGUCCUGAGCUUCCGGAAGCUGUGUCAGUGGAGGCAGCUUCUGUGAGUCUAGAGAAUGGGGGUGAUGGGUGUGGGGUAGCCUUUGAGGAGGCUGCUCAGGCAGUGAGCGAUGAUCCAGGCUCAGCUGUUGAGUCGACUAGUGUGGUGGCUGAAGGGCCCUCCGAGGAACAGGCUUCCGUAGGCCAAAGUGAGGUUGCAGGGGAUAGUGCAAGCAAUGUACCAAAUGAAACCAAAGGAGAAGCAAACUCUGCCAGCUUGCUUGAGGAGGCUGCAACAUCCAGUUCAAAUUCUGCUGGAGACCAAAGUGGGGAUCGUGUGGCAAAUCCUGGAGACCAAAGCGGGGAUUGUGUGGCAAACCCUGGCGCUGGAGAACCAAAUAGGCCAAGACCUGCAUCCAAGAUCUGCAUCCAAGAGGCAGACCUCGAGCUGCAUAAGAGAAACUAUGUCAACGCUGUCCGUGCUCACGUGGCCUUUGAUAAUGGGAAACUUGUGGGUGCAACCAACGAACUCUAUGCGCUGAUGGGGAGGGUGGCUUCCGAAUUCCGCUCCCAGGAACCUGGAUUUGUGCACCCAACUGACUUGACGAUGAGAUGCAGCGAUGGCCACUAGCUUAGGCUGUCUGAAAACAAGAGGAGGCGAUUUCCUGGAGGAGAGGUCUAGCUAUUGGCCACCAUUGCUAAAUGGAACCUCCAGGUUUAGAGGCACUGUACCUCUGAAUACUUGAUGCCAGGACUCGAGACAGGAGAUGGCCACUGCCUCUGUGUCCAGCUUGUGGGCUUCCCAGAAGCACCUGGCUGGUUAGCAUUGGAAGCAGAAUGCUGGGAACUAUGCAGAACGAACUAACCAGCCCACCAAGAGGUACACUCUCAGUCAGUGGGUCGAAAGGAACCAGCGCAACCAUCGUCGGUUUGAGGAUCCUCAGUUUUUGCACUUUAAGCGCAGCCCCAUUCCAGGCCUCUAGAGGGCGGCCCAUAAACAGAAACUGUGUUUUUUAUCUGCACUUUAAAGUUUGUUUAAUAUUUAA